UCCGGGUUUCGCCCGGCAGUCUCCCUAGAACAUUCAACUAAGGACAGGGGUUUCGCUCGUUAAGGAACUUAACCCGACAUCUCACGACACGAGCUGACGACAGCCAUGCAGCAGCUGUGCACGUUUCACCGAAGCAGACGAACGAGUUUCCCCGCCGUCAUCCGUGCAUGUCAAGCCUAGGUAAGGUUCUUCGCGUUGCGUCGAAUUAAACCACAUGCUCCACCGCUUGUGCGGGCCCCCGUCAAUUCCUUUGAGUUUCAACCUUGCGGUCGUACUCCCCAGGCGGGGUACUUCCUGCGUUAGCGCCGGCACCCAGAGGGUCGCUCCCCCAGGCACCUAGUACCCAUCGUUUACGGCGUGGACUAC
rnacentral:misc_RNA from 1 species